rnacentral:rRNA from 1 species
CCUACGGUGUGCAGCAGUGAGGAAUAUUGGUCAAUGGCCGCAGGGCUGAACCAGCCAAGUCGCGUGAGGGAUGACGGUCCUAUGGAUUGUAAACCUCUUUUGUCAGGGAGCAAAGGGCGCCACGUGUGGCGUUUUGCGAGUACCUGAAGAAAAAGCAUCGGCUAACUCCGUGCCAGCAGCCGCGGUCAUACGGAGGAUGCGAGCGUUAUCGGGAUUUAGUGGGGUAAAAGGGUGGGCAGGGGGAAGGUCAAGUCAGCGGGAAAAUUUCGGGGUUCAACCCCGGCGUGCCGUUGAAACUGGCAUUCUUGAGUGAGGGAGAGGUAUGCGGAAUGCGGGGUGUAGCGGUGAAAUGCGUAGAUAUCACGCAGAACUCCGAUGGCGAAGGCAGCAUACCGGAGCGCAACUGACGCUCAUGCGCGAAAGCGUGGGUAGCGAACAGGAUUAGAUACCCCUGUAGUC